UACGUAGGGGGCAAGCGUUGUCCGGAAUUAUUGGGCGUAAAGAGCGCGUAGGCGGUCCGAUAAGUCGGCUGUGAAAGUCAGGGGCUCAACCCUUGAAAGCCGGCCGAUACUGUCGGACUAGAGUCCGGAAGAGGCGAGUGGAAUUCCCGGUGUAGCGGUGAAAUGCGCAGAUAUCGGGAGGAACACCAAUGGCGAAGGCAGCCUUCUGGGCCAACACUGACGCUCAUGCACGAAAGCGUGGGGAGCAAACAGG
rnacentral:rRNA from 1 species